rnacentral:rRNA from 1 species
AUUGAACGCUGGCGGCAGGCCUAACACAUGCAAGUCGAGCGGGGUUUUCGGACCUAGCGGCGGACGGGUGAGUAAUGCGUAGGAAGCUACCCGAUAGAGGGGGAUACCAGUUGGAAACGACUGUUAAUACCGCAUAAUGUCUACGGACCAAAGUGUGGGACCCUCGGGCCACAUGCUAUCGGAUGCGCCUACGUGGGAUUAGCUUGUUGGUGGGGUAAUGGCUCACCAAGGCGACGAGCCCUAGCUGGUUUGAGAGGAUGAUCAGCCACACUGGAACGGAAUGACGGUGCAGCUUCCUACGGGAGGCAGCAUGGGUGAUUAUUGGACAAUGGGCGCAAGCCUGAUCCAGCCAUGCCGUGUGUGUGAAGAAGGCCUUCGGGUUGAAAAGCACUUUCAGUAGGGAGGAAGGGUGUUGUGUUAAUAGCACAGCAUUUUGACGUUACCUACAGAAGAAGCACCGGCUAACUCUUUGCCAGCCGCCGCCGUAACAC